GCGCUUUCCUUCUACCCCUUGAUCUUUAUUGUUUCAGUAGAUCCCUUUUCAUUCUGUUGUAUGGUGUAUAUUUUUUAGGUUUAGAAGCUGUACUUAAUUCUUAUUUCAGAAGAUGGCUCUUCUCAGAAUGAAAAGCAGAUUGCUAUGAAGGCAAUGAUUUGAUCCUUGUGGUUUGCUGUGAGCCUCGUAGCCUCUAGUGUAAACCUAUUGGAUCUUGUUUAACAGAGAAGCAUAGAAAGUACCACCCAUGCAAAUGCUGCUCAGAAACAUCUACCAGGGAGAAAAAAGCUUCUAAUGAAGACGAUGUGGUCUCUUGGCACAAGAAUUUAUGAAACAACCCAUAAAGACCCACGGUACAGCAAUCUAAGGAGCAAACUCAAGAUGUUUGAUUGAGCAAUGCGUGUGCAUUUAUUCACACCUGGAAAGAACAGCUUUCUGUGUCAUUACAUGCAGUGUGAGAAUUUCAUGUAUUGAUCUCUGUAUAUACAUCACCUGAGGUUCCUUUAUUCUCUUGGUAAAACUUGCCAGGUGUGAUGCUGUUUGGAGGUCCUUUCUGUACCAGAUGAGGCACUGAGUGUUGAAGCAAGCAUCCCUCCUGGCCUUGUUUCGGACCUUGUCUAGAGAUACAGUACUGCUGCCUAAAGCUGUUAAGCUUAACCAAAGCCAUGGAUGUGACUGUUAUUUGGCAGAUAAAAGGAGUGAAAGGAAGGAGAGAAGAUAGCAGUGUGGUGUCUUUUUACUUUCUUUACAGUCUGCUUAAAUUUCUCAUCUGCUGUAAACCUCAGACUGAAAUUCUGCAGCGUGGGGAUGCACCGAAGUAGUGCUGGAUAAUAACUUAAUAAAAUAGAAGUAACGAAAGGGGAAUAAAAUAGCUCCCAAACAGUUAAGAGUGGGAUUCUGGUUUGUGUUGGAUCCUUGUCCUGAAAGCUUGGAGUGCUCAGAUCCACCUG
rnacentral:lncRNA from 1 species